GGUGAACGCUGGCGGCGGGCCUAAUACAUGCAAGUCGAGCGAACAGACGAUAAGCUUGCUCCCCUAACGUUAGCGGCGGACGGGCGAGUAACAAGUGGAUAACCUACUUAUAAUACUGGGAUAACUACGGGAAACCGCAGAUACUACCAGCUAAUAUAUCGAACCGGAGGGUUCAAUAGUGAAUGACGGUUUUGCUGUCACUAAUAGACGGAGCCGCGUCGGAUUAGCUAGUUGGUAAGGUAACGGCCUACCAAGGCGACGAUGCGUAGCCGACCUGAGAGGGUGAUCAGCCACACUGGAACUGAGACACGGUCCAGACUCCUACGGGAGGCAGCAGUAGGGAAUCUUCGGCAAUGGGCGAAAGCCUGACCGAGCAACGCCGCGUGAGUGAAGAAGGUCUUCGGAUCGUAAAGCUCUUUUAUUAGGGAAGAACAACUGUGGGAGUAACUAUGGAUGUUUUGACGGUACCUAAACAGAAAGCAACGGCUAACUACGUG
rnacentral:rRNA from 1 species